ACCCUCCAGAUUCCUGACCCUGCAGAGCGAAACACGGGUCUGAGUGGUUGUAAGAGGAGGAAAAACAACACAGAAACAAACUGGGAUCCCUUGGUGGCCUGUACGCUGGUUUCAAACCAAC
rnacentral:snoRNA from 1 species